UGCCACGUAGUGUAGUGGUUAGCACCUUCGGUUUUGACUUCGAAGCUCACAUCCGAAUAACCGGGGUUCGAAUCCCCGCGAGGCAU